rnacentral:lncRNA from 8 species
AUGUUGGGGGGGUAAAAAUAAAUUUUUAAAUGCCAGUGGGUGAAUUUUUGAUAUCAUGUGAAAUCCAUUUAUUUCAGCAGAUUUUCCUCAGGAAACAACAGCAUUGUUUCUUGUGCAAUAGCUAUAGCUAUAUCAGUCUCUUGAGGGGAGGAAAAAAAUAUCCACAUUAUAUUGCUCCCAUUAACACACAAAACAGAACCCAUCAAUCUGGUUUAGUCAAUUUGGUUAUUUUACAUUCCUAUGAGGGUAUAACAUGCAUAUACUAUAUAUUUACAGACAGCACUCCCAAGUGCAUGUUUCAGUGGUACCUUACAUGCUACACAGUUUUCAAGUGUUAUGUUAUUGGUUUGAAUUGAUGUGUGUGAUUCAUGUUAUGAUUGUGAUUCUGCUCUCACAGAGGAUGAACCUGGGAGAUGAGAGGCAGCCGACUGGAAUGGUAGCAGCCACAACCACAGCAGCACCGGAGGUCGCUGAUAUAACAGGUCCAGAGGAGGCCCAGACUGCAACACCAGAACCACCUGCUCCUGUAACCAGCAUUGCCAGCGUCCCUGAUGCUCCUGAGGUUACAGUUGAAGAAGAAACUGCGGAGGAGGAGGACUCUGAGCUGCCCAAUGUUGUCCCAGAGCAGCCUGGGGAGGAGAUAGUGGAGUUCAGCAUUGACCUCGUGGACCCAGGCUACAAGGAACUACUGGACGACCCUGACUCCCCCCAAUAUGUUGACCUCUCUCAUCACCUGCAAGACCAGGUGAGAUUAUAAUAUAGCCUGGUCCCAGAUCUGUUUUUGCUUUUGCCAACUACAUUGCUGUCAUUGUCAAGCCAAAUGGCAUGAACUUUUGUGACAUUGUGUUGGCAUGAUGGCCUACAGACUGACAGCCAGGCUAGCUGACAUACUGCACAGUAGAAGAUGAGACUUAUGGGAGCUGUGCAGUCUGUACUCCUCUUUAUGUCCAUCAGUAAAAUGUUAUUGAUGAUUUUAAGUCCCUAAGACCAAUGGGAUAUACGUUUUGAUUCCAUUGAGGUACAGUUCAUUCAGUGUCAGUUUAUUCAGUGUUUUUUAAUUGGUUUUUAAUGCAGGCACAGAGAGUCAAACAACAUUUCCCAAUGAAAAUAAAGGCAUGAUCGUAUCAGUGUAACACAAUCAACUGUCAGAUGCAGACGCCUGAUGCUGCACGGUGUGUUGUGUGACAUGUU